rnacentral:lncRNA from 1 species
UGCACUUUCCAUAAAUUUUUCAAAAUAAAAUUUGACACUUUUCCAAUAGCUGCUCAAAGUAGGUUCCAUACCCUGGAAGCUGGAAGAAUGGUUCCUUUCUUGAUUCUUGAUCUUGGUUUUCGAUCUCUCUACCUAUAAGUACCAGCAUACAGGUAUAUGUUUGUGUAUCUUCAUUCCCAAAAUGGCCAUAAUCUUUAGCUUCAAAACUUUGAUGAUGCUCUGCAUCUUCCUUUUUGAACUCCCUUUGCCUUCCAUGGAUCUUUCCAUCCCAACCUUCACCAAAAUCAUCCUACCAAAUACCGCCAUAUGUCCUGAAUCUGUACUUCAAAAGCUUUUUUGUUCUUUGGAUUGUACUUCAAAAGCCUUUCGGUUGAAUCACCAGUAGCAAAUGCUUUGAGAAUUUGAUUGCAAAAUAAGCAGUAUCAAUGGAAAACUACCCAUCAUACAAUUAUAAAAUGUUCAGCUCUGAAUCCAAGUCCUUUAAACUAGGACAUGCAUGCAUGUGUAAACAAACGAGUCCUGGUAAUGGGUCGACGUCUAAACCAUUAAGGAAGUGGAAGGGUACUGAUACAUCCUGGCCCAUUAAAGUAAGGGAGCUGGAAGAUGGCCCUGUAGUUGAAAUGCAGGAAGUAGAGCAAACAUUGCAACGGCCAGCUCGUGUUCGCAAAACUCCAGAAUAUCUCAAGGACUAUAUCACCUAGGGGAAUAUUCGGGAGAAUUAUUCCAUGAGGACAGCUGUGAUUUCUGUUAUUUUGUUUUAUUAUUGCAAUUGAUUAGUCACACAAAAAGUGGUAGAAUGGAAAUGAUAUAUGUAACGUGGAAAGGCAUGAGCUGGACUAGAAUAUAAUACACAAAAGUUUCUUUCUUUCUUAUCUCUAUUAUUUUCUCUCUCUGCUGUACCGUACAUCCGCCUUGGCCGUACAGCAGACCUCGUGAUACCGACCAAUAUUCAUUUGAGGUCGUAUCAACUGGUGCUUUCAUUGCUUUUUUCUUCUCCUUGUCAUUCUCUGUCAUCUACUCCCUAUUUCUCUGCAACAAUGACCAACAAGAGGCCACAACGGAUCCUGAGAUUAUUUCUAAGAUGCAAACACUUCUUGAAAGCCACACGCUGGCUGUUCAUCAAAACCUCCAAAAAUAUAUGUCCACGGUUGAUUCUCGUUUUGAGGAGCUACGAUCUCAAAUCAGUAGUUCUAUUGGACUUUCAGGAGGUUCAUCACGUCCUCCGGCGUCAACACCGUCAUCUUCGACUACGGUUCCGACAUCGUCGAUGGCUUUCCCAACACAGUCCACUACUCUCGUUAGUAGUACGGAUAAUUCACCUCUGUUACGCUCCAUGAAAAUUGAGGUUCCAAAGUUUGAUGGCACUGAUCCAAAUGGAUGGGAUUUUCGAAUCAAUGAAUUUUUUGAUUUUCAUGGCACCCUGGAUCAUCUACGGUUACGUAUUGUUUCUUUUCACAUGGAAGGAAAAGCUGCUGCAUGGUUUCAGUGGAUGAAAGCCAACAAUCUAUUGAGCACUUGGCAAAGUUUUUUAAUCAAUCUCAAACAACGUUUUGGUGCUUCUAUGUAUGAAGAUCAUCAGGGCAAUUUGUCCAAGCUCACACAAACAUCUACAGUCGCAGAGUUUCAAUCGGCCUUUGAAGAGUUGAUGAAUAAAGUCACGGGCAUUUCCGAGCCGUUACUGAUCAGUUUUUUUAUCACUGGCUUAAAACUUGACAUUCGGCGAGAGUUGUUGUUUGGCAGACCCACGUCCCUCAUGGAAGCCUUUGCUCUAGCACGCGCAUAUGAAGCUAAAUCUGAGGAAUCAAAAAUUUCAGGCCGUUCUUGGACAAAAUGGAACGCUGAGAGUCAAAAAUUCCAGGCCGUCCUUGGACAAAAUAGAAUGCUGUUACUCCUCAACCACAACAAACCACCCCUGCUCUCACUCACCAUGUCCACAACAAAUUUCCUUCCACUUAUCCACAUGCCAAUUUUGCUACUCCAAAACCAUCAUUCCAACCGCCACUUUUACCUACCCCAAAACCAAUACCACCACCGCCACUUUUACCCACUCCAGCCCUCCCCAUCUGUCGUCUCUCUCCGGUGGAAUUGAAAGAAAAAAGAGACAAGAGGUUGUGUUACAAUUGCGACCAGAAAUAUAGUGCAAACCAUCAUUGCCAUAGUAAAUUUCUCUUGUUGCUAGGCACAGAUGAUGAUGACAGUGAACCAUCGGAGAAGUCUCCCUUGCUUGAACAAACAGAGGAAGUUGUGACAGCUGAUAUAUCCAACUUAAAUGCACUAGCUGGGCAAUCUAACCCACGUUCCUUGAGGGUAAUAUAAGAAAUGGGCCGCCAACACUUACAUGUUUUAAUAGAUAGUGGCAAUACACACAACUUCAUCAAACCACAAUGGGUAGAACGACUUGGCCUGAAAAUUCAAUCCAUCCCUGCUUUUCGGGUUUAUAUUGGUAAUGGCAACUUCUUAAUUUGCCGUUUUCAAUGUCUUCAAGUGCCACUAGUGAUACAGGGUCACACUUUCAAGUUAGAUUUCUAUAUAUUGCCAAUUGAAGGUCCCGAUGCUGUCCUGGGAAUCUAGUAGCUUCAACAUCUUGGUAAAAUAUCUACAGACUACUGUGCAAUGACUAUGGAAUUUUGUUGGGAGAGCAAUCCAGUCAUUUUACGAGGUGACCCCAUCCAAACCCCUAAUAUGAUUUCCUUCCAUCAAUUUCAUGCCUUGUUAUCUACAGAUGCCGUGCAUUCAUUAUUUGAGCUGCAUCCCAUUAUUACUGACACACUUGCUUCCGAUACAAAUUUCUCACUCUCGGAACCUCACCUUCCCACCCAAUUACCCGAACAAAUCACCAUUCUCCUUCAACAAUAUAAAACCUUAUUUUCACCACCUACGAGCCUACCUCCUCAUAGACUCAUUGACCAUAAAAUCCACCUCCUGCCUACUACAAAGCCAGUGAAUGUGAGGCCCUAUAGAUAUCCUCAUUUUCAAAAAACAGAAAUGGAAAAACUAGUCAAGGAAAUGUUAGAACAGGGGAUAAUAAAGCCAAGCCACAGCCCUUUCUCCUCUCCCGUUUUGUUGGUCAAGAAAAAGGAUGGCACAUACAGGUUUUGUGUCGAUUACCGAGCCUUGAAUGCAGUCACCGUGCCGGAUAAAUUUCCUAUUCCCACAAUUGAUGAAUUAUUUGAUGAGCUAGGAGGAGCACGAAUUUUCAGCAAGCUGGAUUUGAGAGCUGGUUACCACCAGAUCCGAGUUCAUAAGCGAGAUACUUAUAAAACGGCAUUUCGUACUCAUGAGGGACAUUACGAAUUUCUGGUCAUGCCAUUCGGUUUAACUAAUGCCCCCUCGACAUUUCAAGCAACUAUGAAUCAACUAUUUGCAUCUUACUUACGCAAAUUUGUUAUUGUUUUUUUCGAUGACAUUUUGGUUUAUAGUUCUUCAUUGACUGCUCAUGCCAAUCACUUGGAACAGGUUUUGUUUCGUUUGCAAGAACAUCAGUUUUAUGUCAAGUUGUCGAAGUGUUUGUUUUGCCAAGAAGCUAUUGAUUAUUUGGGCCAUAUAGUGACUGCUGGAGGAGUUAAGGCAGACCCUAAAAAAAUUGCAGCCAUGGUGGAAUGGCCAUUGCCGCAGACUGUUAAACAACUACGAGGCUUUCUCGGGCUCACAGGCUAUUAUCGCUGAUUUAUCCGAGGUUAUGCUUCAAUUGCGGCCCCAUUGACAUAUUUGUUGUGUAAAGAGGCAUUCCAUUGGUCUCCAGCAGCUUCGGAUGCCUUUAUGACUUUAAAAAAUGCAAUGGUGGCUGCCCCGGUAUUGCAUUUACCCGAUUUUGAGCUUGAAUUUGUUACAAAGAACUGCACGCUAUUGUUGCUGCUGUACAAAAAUGGCGCCAAUACUUACUCGGUCGAUUUUUCAUCAUCAGAACUGAUCAUAAAAGCAUUAAAGAGUUGUUUCACCAGGUAAUUCAAACUCCUGAACAACAAGCUUACGUCAGGAAAUUGUUGGGUUUUCAUUUUCGAAUUGAGUAUAAGCCGGGAAGUUCCAAUAAGGUUGCUGAUGCCUUAUCUCGAGUACAUGCGGAUCAAUUUUCCGAGUCCAUAAAUUCUCAAGCUGAGUUGUUCUCUAUAAUCUCCAAGCCAACCGUGGAUAUCCUAACCACUUUGCAUGAGGACAAUUCUUCCUUACCUGAUCUGUUGUUACUUCAUAACAAGUUUGCAGCGGGAGAACUUUCUUCAGCCUUCUCGGUUUGUGAGGGACUAUUACUUUACAACCAUCAAUACUACGUCAGUCCUCACUCCAAAUUAAAUAGCACGCUUCUUAAGGAAUUCCAUGACUCCCCCAUGGCAGGGCAUGUAGGCGUGAAACGCACCCCAGUUAGGCUUUCUUCUACUUUUUUCUGGCCGAAAAUGCGCUUUGAUGUUGAGAACUACAUUGCUGCAUGUCUUACAUGUCAGCAAAUAAAAAAUUCUACUCAAGCACCUGCUGGAUUACUUCAACCUUUACCCGUUCCUUCACUUGUUUGGGAUGAUUUGACUAUGGAUUUUAUUACAGGCUUGCCAACUUCUAAAGGCUUCGAGGUAAUCUUGGUGGUAGUGGAUCGCUUAACGAAAUCAGCCCACUUUGGUGCACUGCCAUCUCAGUUCACAGCCAGCAAAACAGCCAAUCUUUUUGCUGAUUUGGUAGUCAAGUUACAUGGGUUUCCAAGCUCAAUAAUAUCAUAUCGAGAUCCUAUAUUCAUGAGUAAUUUUUGGCAGAAACUAUUUGAGUUAAGUGGCACUACAUUGCGGCACAGUACUGCUUAUCACCCUCAAACUGACGGCCAAACAAAGGUAGUGAAUCGUGGCCUCGAACAAUACUUAAGAGCCUUUACUCAGGACAAACCGCAAUCAUGGUCAAGCUUGUUAGGCUGGGCUGAAUUUUGUUACAACACAAGCUAUCACAAUGGGUUGAAGAUGACACAUUUUCAAGCACUCUAUGAGAGAUUACCCCCUACAAUUCCUGGAUAUACGAAAGGUUCUACUUCGAUUCAAGCCUUAGAAGAUCUGUUGUUGGAGCGAGAUGAAUUGUUGAGAACUUUAAAAAACUAAUUUACUUCAAGCUCAGCAUCGUAUGGAACAAAAAGCCAAUGCCCAUCGACGAGAACUCCAGUUACAGAUUGGUGAUCUUGUUUUGGUCCGCCUUCAACCUCAUAGACAAAUUUCAGUGGCUAAGCGUGCUUCUCAAAAGUUGGCUAAACGAUAUUAUGGCCCUUUCCGAGUAUCAGAACGAAUCGGAGCUGUUGCUUAUAAGCUGCAAUUGCCUGAAGGAUGCAAAGUUCACCCGGUAUUUCACAUCUCAGCACUCAAACCUUAUGUGGGAAACUCGGCUGUUUAUGUUGCAUCUUUGCCUCCUGAUACCAUUGACAACAAGCCUGUCUCUACUCCUAUAGCUAUACUUGCUGACCGAUUCAUAUUAAAACAAGGAAAAAAGCAUUAUCAAAUUUUGGUUCAGUGGUCUGGCUGUGCUCCUGAGAAUUCAACUUGGGAAGACUUUGCUGAGUUCUGCAGACUGUACCCAGAGUUUAACCUUGAGGACAAGGUUCAUUCUCAAGGGGAGGGGAGUGAUACAUCCUGGCCCAUUAAAGUAAGGGAGCUGGAAGAUGGCCCUGUAGUUGAAAUGCAGGAAGUAGAGCAAACAUUGCAACGGCCAGCUCGUGUUCGCAAAACUCCAGAAUAUCUCAAGGACUAUAUCACCUAGGGGAAUGUUCGGGAGAAUUAUUCCAUGAGGACAGCUGUGAUUUCUGUUAUUUUGUUUUAUUAUUGCAAUUGGUUAGUCACACAAAAAGUGGUAGAAUGGAAAGGAUAUAUGUAAAGUGGAAAGGCGUGAGCUGGACCAGAAUAUAAUACACAAAAGUUUCUUUCUUUCUUAUCUCUAUUAUUUUCUCUCUGUUCUUGUGGAGCUCACACCUGCUCGAAAGGUGGAAACCUCGUGAUACCGACCAAUAUUCAUUUGAGGUCGUAUCAGGUACUCUUUCUGCAAUGGUGGCUAGUUGUGUUGCAAGACCUCCAUUUUUUCCGACGACAAGAAGCGCCAGAAAUGCAUCAGCAAUGUGGAGAUCGCCUGUUAAGCUGUUGAAACUUAAGCCCAAUCCCUUGUACCCUUUUGGUGAAUAAGUGAAUGCAAAAUCGACAAAACCAACAUCAGGUCCUUGCUGUUUAAGAAUUCUACCAUCAGAGACGCCUGUCUAGGGUCCUGCACCAGGUGAAUUGAAGACGGAAGGCUUCAGAGCCCAUGGUUGUUAAUGGUGCUAAUGGGAGCUUCGUGAAUCACUGAGCUGAGAGAACUAUUGAAUGAAUAGAGGACAGGACAAAGACGAUCAUGGAAAACAUUUCUACCUAAUCUGCUUAACAGAGACAUUAAGAAGGAGGGAGCUGGAAACUUUCAAAAAGGCUUUUUUAAAGUUUAAAAUGUUUUAUAGACCGGAAAUUUAUACAACAAAUUGAAACAAUCUCACAAAGUACACACUGAUAGUUCCAGUUCGGCUUUGUAUCAAGGGCGGAUCCAAGAACUUUUUAUCACUCCGUACUAAUUUAUAAAAUUAUUUUCAAUAUCCAUAUAAAUGUCAGUGCAUAUAAAGAAAUAAAAAAUUACAUAUCAAACAACACAAUAUCAAAACUCUUAGUACAAUAUUAUAUUUAAUAAAAGAUUGACAGCCAUAUAACAAAUAAGUUUAUAAUAUAAAUUAUUAAAAUUGUACCAUAAAAAUUAUUUUUGAAAUUAUUUUUAAUUUUAUUGAUUGAGAAUGUGAAAUCUUUAAAUAAUUUGAUAUAAUGAAAAGAAAAUGAGCAAGUAUGAAUGUGAAAAAAAAACAUGAAAUUAUGAAAUUUUUAAUUGUUACCAUAUAUAUAUAUAUAUAUAUAUUAAUUUUUUAUAGUCAAAGCUCCCUACAGUCAUAAUAUUUGGAAUUAAACUAAUUUAAUUAGUAUGAGGAGGUUAUAAUUUAAUAAAAGUGUAGUUACAAAAUUAUUAUUUUGACUUAAUUAUGCAGAGGUAAAAUAUGCACUACACUAAUAAUUAAGUAAUAGAGCAUACCAAAUCUAAUAUAUAGAUAUUGAUAAAAGAAAUAAACAUAAUUUUAAAGAAAUUAAUACAUAUAUUUAUGUAGUGUCGGAAUUAUGCAAAGUCAUCUUCAAAGUCUAAAUGUUUGCAUUCUAUUAUGUUUUUCUCUCAAUGUAAAUUUUAUAAAUAUUGUAUAAGUAUUUAGUAACAUUCUAAAUAAUAAAUCAUUGUCCCAAAUAACUUUUAAUAAAUAUUUAUUUCAUCUUAGGCCUUUAAUAUAAUAUAUCAUUUUUUUUUCACGACAUACAAAUAAUUAUUACUAAGUGGAGGGGAGGUUUCUUAAAAGAGAAUCUAGAAAAAUUAUAACGUUUUAUAAUAUAGAGUUUAUUCUUGUUUAUGAUUAACUCAAAUUAGGACCGAAAUUUUUUAUGAUUACCUAGAUGUUAUUCUUAUAUAGAGUAUCACUAUAGAGAUUUUUUUAUUGUAAUACUAGAGACUACAUUAUAAUACACUGAUAUGCUUUUCUUUCGAUUAGAAUUUUUUUACAAUAAGUUAAAGUAGUAAUGACAUUUUAGCCCCUCUAACAAUUUCAAUUUAUUCAAUAAAAUAUAUAAUUUAACCAUUUUAUAAAAUAAGACACUAACUCUAAUUGAAAAAACAAAUUAUGGACAUAAUUGAAAAUAAAAUAAAAACUUAUUAUAUAUAAAAAUGAACUAAACAUAAGGGGGUAUGAAUGUUUAUUUCCUGGGCUAGAGCCCGGUCUAGACCAGGCGUAGAGUUUUUAGCCAACCUGCAAAGAUGAAUACAAAGAAAAGAAAGAAAAUGCAUAUCUUAAUUAAAAUGGGGUGUAUUCCCUUUCGUCCGUACGGUUUGGCCUAAUUUUGAGAAAUGUAGCGUCAACGGUGUGAUAAUGCUAUGCCUUGCGAAAAACUGCCUUCCGGUAAAACGGUUUCAAAAUCAAGGCCUAAGCACAGAACAGACCCAAACAUUGUGUAUCAUUUCAAGAAAUUUUAUCUGAAAAAAGAACAAAUAACUAUUUUUGUGAUUCCAAUUGAUCUUCAGCACAUACUGGUGACUUCAUAAGGUAGUGGCCCUGAAGUUUCAUGCAUGGUCUACUUUGUCUCUCAGUGAAGCAUUUGUUGUUUAAUAAUGUGCAAUCUGCCUAAACAGAAGCAACAGACAUUGACUUUGACUCAAAUCUGUCUACGUUCUCUAUCUCUUGGUUCAACAACUUUAACCGAUAUUAUCCCUACUUACUGGCUUUCCAAACUUGAGGCACAUUUUAGGGUACCCUUUUUGUAGCAUCGACCUUUUCAUAUAUCAACCCUGAAUUUAAGGUUGGUUCCAUACCUAGAAAUAACAAACCCGUUUCUUCAUUACAGAAUCUUCAUUGUGUCAUCUGGUAUCCUGCUUGAUUUUUCAUCUCUAACAGUACACUUCAAUUAUUGGUUAUCAUGUCUAUAAAUACCUGCAUGAUUGUGUUAUUCUUCAUUCCAAAACAUAGCUGUAACUCUCGGCUACAAAAUGGCAGCCACGCUCAGCCUCUUCGUUUUCGUCUUCUCUUUGCCUCGGAUGGUUUUUUCUAUCCCAACUUUCACCAAGAUCCCGUUUCCACCAAAAGCCUUUGGUGGAGAAUCCAUUGCCUUUGAGCCAGUUGGUGGAGCAUUCUAUACUGGAGUUGCUGACGGUAGAAUUCUCAAAUACCAGGCCCCAGAUGGUUUCACUGAUUUCGCCUUCACCACACCAACAAGGUAACAUAUUGAACAUUGAACUAACCAUCUUCAUGGAAUUUUUUUUUUUUUUAAUAAAUACCUGACUCUUUCGGGUUUGAUACAGGUCAAAGGCAGUAUGUGAUGGCACCACAAAUUUAGAUUUGGGACCAAUCUGUAGGAGGACAUUUGGUUUAGCAUUGCACUAUGCAACAAGACAGCUCUACAUCGCCGAUGCUUAUUCUGGCCUUCUGGUAGUUGGACCUAAUGGAAGACUUGCCACCCAACUUGCGACCGGUGCAGAAGGACAAGCUUUCCACUUCUUGGACGGUUUGGAUGUUGACCAGGGCACUGGAGUUGUCUAUUUUACAGAUGCUAGCGGUGUCUACGAUUUCAGGUUCUAACUCAUCCACAUUCUUAACUUUUUGACUGCACCAAAGUGAACUAAAACUGUUGCAAAUUGUUACACAGGACUAUCGUAAAGCUGAAUAUAACAAAUGACUCCACUGGAAGAUUACUAUCGUAUAACCCAAGAAGCAGUCAAGUUACAGUAUUGCUAAGGAAUCUCACCGGGCCAGCAGGGGUUGCAAUUAGUGUAGACAGCUCGUUUCUUCUUGUAUCAGAGUUCACUGGAAAUAGGACUUUGAAAUAUUGGCUAAGAGGUCCCAGAGCUAACUCAUUCGAUAUCAUAAACUUCCAGGCAAAGCCACACAAUAUCAAGAGAAACCCAGGCUUGUUACAGACAUUUUGGGAGGCAGCAAUCAUUACAAGACAACCUGCAGGAACACCUGUGCCAAUAGGUCAAAGGAUCAGUGCAUUUGGUGCUGUCCUGGAUACGAUAAGUUUCGAGGCACAGUACAGCACGACUCCAAUCAGUGAAGUUCAACCGUUUGGUGGUGCAUUAUAAAUAUCUUCACGAUCAACAGAUUUUGUUGGUGUUCUCAGGCCUUGAGGCAGCUUUGCUGUAAUUGCAGCUUGUGUUGUAACAGCUGCAGCCGAAUAAGUUGUGUAAUAAGGCAGGGCUAUCCCUGCCCUGGGCUCAUAAAUGACGCUUUUACAAUGCUUCUUUUGUUUUCUUCAGUAUCAGCAAUAACUGAGAGUUCAGAGGAAUAGAAAUGGAAGUAAUGCAUUUUGUCUAAACUGCAUCCCUGAGUCAAAAUCUCAUAAGAAAGUCCUCACAUAUCAUUGCCAAAUCCCUAAUGGCUGAAAGUAUUUUCCAUACUCUCCCUUGGUGGGAAUCUAUGAGAAAGUGUACAUGCCCUUAAUAAAGCCAUAAUAGAUCGGUCAAUGAUUACAGAUUAGGACCAAAAUGAUAGUUAUGAUUGAAAAUUAUAUAAAAUUAUAAUCAGAGGAUAAGCAUUAAACACUUUCAUUAAUUCAAGUCACUCAGAUUUAACUCAUUUGUGUUCUAAAGUCGGAGCACAGAUCAUCGUUAAUAUUUAUAUGCGAGUAUGUCAAAAAGGCAAUUUACAUUAAAACAUUAACAAGCCAAUCAAGUAGAUAACAUUAUGAAAGACAGGUAACCAGCAAGCACUAAAGAAUUCAUGCUAAAAAGAUGAGCAUAUAUGAACUUCACAUUUUCUUUAAUUCAGCUAAACAGUCUUGGAUGCCUUCCAAAUUUGCAUUGUAGAGGCCUGCAGUACAAAAUAACAAUAUCUCAUGAAACAAAUAUGGGAUUUUGACUCCAUAAAGAAAAAUCAACUCAAUGAGACAAAUAACAUAAACAUGAGUACUGUUACCUUUGCCGCGGUUCAAACUACAAAAACCUCUAUCUGCAUUGUUAACCCUCUCCACUUUAAUAUGCUGCAUAUCAUUCAUCCUUUUCGUCUUCAGGUUGUGCAUUUUCAUAUGCAGCUCUGAUGCAGUUUUUACCAUCUCUGCAGGAGGCAAUUGUUGAGAAUACAUAAUAUUACAACUAUAAUACAAUUUUCUAUCUAAACAUUUUGUUCUAGAAACAUCAGCAAAUAUAAUCAACUAAGAGUUUAGACAGUUUCUGUUGGCAGAAAGACUUGAAUCUUCAGCAGUAGACAUUCUUUUAUUUAUUCAGUGGCUCUUAAGAGUUGUCUCACAGGCUUAAAAAUCCUCCUUGGUGGACCCAAUACAACGUAUAACAAAAGCAGAAGUCUCAAUGAAGUGGACUAGUUCAGAGGAGCCAGUUCUUUGAGUAAACUUAUCAAAUUGGUAUACUUCAGCAAUAUUAUUACUUCCCUUUGUUUAAGCUGCUGGCUAGAUGAGAUUAAUAAGAGUAUGCGCGCCAACCAAUUGUGGUGGUUUCCAUGAAGACUUCAACAGGUUAAAACACUAACAUAUCAAAACAUACUAAGCAUUAAAGGGAGAAGAAAAUUUGUUGUCUGAAGUAUAGAUUAUUAUUGGACAAAAAGUUUAUUGGACAGUGCUCUCCAAUACCAUGAUCCAUAUUAAUUGCCAAGGAGUGUCAUAUAAGCAGUUUACAUAUGUGAGUUACUGAAAGAGGCAGAGAAGAAUCAGUACGACCCACCAGCAAGGUUUCAAAAAACUGACCAAGAAAUUACAAAGGCUUGGAUACCUCAACAGCACUAAAAUAUAUUCUAUCCAAUAACUUAUAUAAAGUAGAAAAAUCUGCAAUAUGCUCAACCCACUUUCUUAAACAACACAUUUUUUGAAAUAGAUGAAAGCAUUAACAGUGGAUGUCAUUGCAAUCUGAAAUCGAGAAAACGUGAGGCUGAAUAAUUAACCUUGGAACAGGUCAUGCACAGAAUUUUGAUCAUAUAAUUGUAAUGCCUCACUAACAAGUCCAGCAGAGUGAUCAGUUGCAGAAGACUGCUUUUCUAAUGCUUGAAGCUCUCGACUGAGCUCAGAGGACUCCUUACCAACCUUAAGAGCGAAUUCCAAUGCAAUGAAAACCAAUUUAGACAAGUUAAAAAAAAAAAAAAAUCACUAGAAAUGAGAAAUUCAGACGAUUUGAAAAUUAUCACUAGAAAUGAGAAAUUCAGACGAUAGGAAUCCAUUUGCACAUCAAGAUCUAAAAAAAAAAAAAAUCACUAGAAAUGAGAAAUUCAGACGAUUUGAAAAUUUUUUUUACCGCAGCAAGCUUAUCCCUCAAGGAAUCCAUUUGCACAUCAAGAUCUGAAUCAUUAAAUGCAUCUUGGCAGAGUGAGCUUUCACAUGGUAAUUCAUUCUGGAAAGAAAUUUCUGAGGCAUGUCACUAAUAUAAAUAGAAAGAAUUAACAGCAAGAAAAAUUUACUGCAUAUUCUCCGUCAAAUAAAUUUAAAUACCCGGUUGUUCAUAGCAAUUUCACAAUUAACAAAACAUUGUUCUUACAUUAUUCUCCUAGAAGAAGAUAUCUCAUUAUCACCAGAUAGUCAGCUCAUCAUAAUUUCGCCAUACUUAUGUCUAUUGCAAAAUUUUGACACUAAGCAUUCCCUAUGCUUUUCUGCCUAUGAGACUCUUACAGCCUGUCCUUCUCCAAUAGUUGAUAAGUCUACUUAAAGGUUAACUUUCAGCAUCCAAACCUUAUUGCUGCAACAUUAAUUCUCUAGGAUUACCAAUUUAAAAAAUGUUAGGCAAGCAGUCAAGCUUGUCAAUCGGCAGAUCAAAAGAUAAGCCAAAUUGUGAGAAGUGGCUAUGUUGCUGUGCAAAGCAGUCAAGUGGAUGUACAGAACCUCAACUGAAAAAAGUUUGGCAUUCCCUUUAUAGUUUUAUCUUUCAAAUAAUUCCUUACCCUCCCCAACAUUUCCUUUGAAGCAUACUGACCAUAAAACUCAAAAUAAUCAUAAUAAUUUCCAAACUAUGCCAUUAGAAAUAUUUAAACUAUCCAUGUUCACACGAACUUAUGCAUUGCCUUAAUGGAUCAUAGAAAUAGAACAAAGAAAAAAUGGUUAUGGCUGAAGGCUCUAUGCAAGUUGGCA